CGUCAACUGAAAAAAAAAGAAAAAAAAAUCAUCAAAUUUUACCUUGCGCUCGCUUGCAUCCGAACGGAAAAACACCUCUCGGUUAAUUUUUCGUCUUCUUGCGUUCGGGAAUCGGAAACCCGGAUUCCCGAGGAUAUGCAACAGAGUUGGUUUCAUUGUAGACCGAAACUAAAUUUGGUUCGUCGGAUCAGGACUACCAACCAAUUGAGCGACACAGCUCAUUCCAUCAAUCCUCCUGCUGGACAGCUAUCGGGCUGUGGAGCGAUGCCUUUAUCAGCGUCAGCCCUUCCAGCGGGACGAUAUUUUAAACUUGAUACCGAAGACAUCGGGUACAAUCAAGAUGUCGCGACCCAAUAAUAAUCGACCUUUGCGUUCCUGGUCCCGCCUUUUCGCAGUUCGUAAACUUAAACUAAUGCACAUCAACAUUCGGGGGACCAGUGCGAAGCCAAGUGAUCGUGAUUCAGAUUCCGCUUUUGACGGAAGAUCUGCCCUACAGGAGAGCGUUCAUUUUCAAUCGGUUUUUUUUGUCGAUGUAAUCUGAAUUAUAUUUGUGCUUUUUCCCAACCAAAAUUUU